rnacentral:lncRNA from 1 species
UAUCCCCAGUACCAAAACCAAAAACAACAACAAAAAUAAGAAAUACAAAGGUCCUGGGUUCAGUCCCCAGUUCUUCAAAUCAGUCAGUCAAUCUGGGAAUGUUUGGUUGUCACAAGCCCUUCACCAAUCAGGUUGAAGGACAGUGUCACCAUCUGGGCACCGUGCUUGGCAUGACACCAUUGGGUACAGUUGCUGUCGGCAUUCGACAGCCCCUGCAGAGGCAGCGGCCGCCCACCCACUCGCCUGCCAUACCAAAUUCCUGCCCACCUGCUCCCUGAGCAUCUUUCCGGGCCAGACACCGUGCCUGGCAAUGUGGACACCAAGCCAGUCCAGCUGAGGGCUGUCCUGAAGGCUGCCAGGUCUUGUGCAGAGGCAAG